rnacentral:rRNA from 1 species
AUUGAACGCUGGCGGCGUGCCUAACACAUGCAAGUCGAGCGGUAACAGGUGUAGCAAUACAUGCUGACGAGCGGCGAACGGGUGAGUAAUGCUUCGGAAUCUACCCUCUAGUGGGGAAUAACCAGCCGAAAGGUUGGCUAAUACCGCAUACGUCCUACGGGAGAAAGCAGGGGAUCGUAAGACCUUGCGCUGAUGGAUGAGCCGAAGUCGGAUUAGCUAGUUGGUGAGGUAACGGCUCACCAAGGCGACGAUCCGUAGCUGGUCUGAGAG